UUUUUGGAGAGUUUGAUCCUGGCUCAGGACGAACGCUGGCGGCGUGCCUAAUACAUGCAAGUCGAGCGAAUCUGAUGGGAGCUUGCUCCCUGAUGAUUAGCGGCGGACGGGUGAGUAACACGUGGGUAACCUGCCUGUAAGACUGGGAUAACUCCGGGAAACCGGGGCUAAUACCGGAUAACUUUUUUCUUCGCAUGAAGGGGAAUUGAAAGAUGGCUUCGGCUAUCACUUACAGAUGGACCCGCGGCGCAUUAGCUAGUUGGUGAGGUAACGGCUCACCAAGGCGACGAUGCGUAGCCGACUUGAGAGGGUGAUCGGCCACACUGGGACUGAGACACGGCCCAGACUCCUACGGGAGGCAGCAGUAGGGAAUCUUCCGCAAUGGACGAAA
rnacentral:rRNA from 1 species